AUUAUUUUGAACAUCAUAAAUGUUAAGAAUUUUACUAAGAACCCAUCAAGAAGGAUGAUCUUAGUAAUCUAUAUAUAUAUAUUUUUGCAGCCAUUUUGUGAAAUAAAUCAUAGAGUUGAGACUUAUUUACAAUGGCUGCCAUUGACUAUUAAUUAUUGAUUUUUUUCCAGCAAUAAAUUGAUUAACAAAU
rnacentral:sRNA from 1 species